rnacentral:rRNA from 1 species
AACGCGAAGAACCUUACCUAGGCUUGACAUGUACGCGAAGGCCGUGAGAGAUCGCGGUCGCCCUUCGGGGCGCGUGCACAGGUGCUGCAUGGCUGUCGUCAGCUCGUGUCGUGAGAUGUUGGGUUAAGUCCCGCAACGAGCGCAACCCUUGCCCCCUGUUGCCAGCGGCGGUAGAGAUACCGGCCGGGGACUCUGGGGGGACUGCCGUGCAACCGACGGAGG